ACUUCUGUUCCUCCCCGCCCUGGUGCUGCUCCGGGUCACAUACUCGUCCUGAGCCGGCUUCAGCCUCUCCGCGCAGAAGUCUCCCGGAGCCGACUUCUGAGAGUCGAGUACUCCUAUGUGAAGACUACCAAGCUCGUGUUCAAGGGAACCAAGGCGAAGAGGUGGGUCCUGCAGCUCUGGCGGGAGCCUUCUCAGUUCUUUUCGGACGCACUCCACCCCCGCGAAUCCGGUGGAAGUCGUGCCGCGGAGAGCUGGCUUUGUGGCAUCCCAGGCUUCGCCCUGGCGCCUGUCCGGGCUGGAUGGAGGCCAGAUAGCGGUUCCUGGCGCCUGUGCAGAGAGGGGCAGCCUCCCGCGCGGACGACCCUGGAAACAGGAUAGACGGGCGGGUGACCCGUGGCCCCGUACCCACGAGUUUGGGUCCCCUGAGGCAUCUCUCCAGGCCUCUGCCUGUAAGAAGAAAAAGAACAAAGAUAAGAAAAGAAAAAGAGAAGAAGAUGAAGAAACCCAGCUUGAUAUGUUGGAAUCUGGUGGACAGUAACAAACUUUGGUGAAAUUUCAGGAACCAUAGCCAUUGAAAUGGAUGAGGGAACCUAUAUACAUGCACUCGAUAAUGGUCUUUUUACCCUGGGAGCUCCACACAAAGAAGUUGAUGAGGGCCCUAGUCCUCCAGAGCAGUUUUCGGCUGUCAAAUUAUCUGAUUCCAGAAUCACCCUGAAAUCUGGCUAUGGAAAAUAUCUUGGUAUAAAUUCAGAUGAACUUGUUGUUGGGCGUUCAGAUGCAAUUGGACCAAGAGAACAAUGGGAACCAGUCUUUAAAAUUGGGAAAAUGGCUUUGUCGACCUCAAAUAGCUGCUUUAUUAGAUACAGUGAAGCAGAGGACAUAGAAGCAAAAAGUAAAACAGCAGGAGAAGAAGAAAUGAUCAAGGCUCUCCUAAUCUCUGUCAGACCUUCACCUUUAUGACCUUGCCUUAUCUACCAGAACACAGAUCCCUCUUACUAAAGAUUAGAUCCUGUGCUGAAAGAGAAACCAAGAAAAAAGAUGACAUUCCAGAAGAAGACAAAGGAAAUAUAAAACAAUGUGAAAUCAA
rnacentral:lncRNA from 1 species